AAAGAGAGAGACAGGUAUAGAGAGGAGACAGACAGGGAGAGAGUGAGAGGUUAGAGAGAGAAAGAGAGAGACAGGUAUAGAGAGGAGACAGACAGGGAGAGAGCAAUAGGUCAGAGAGAGAAAGAGAGAGAGAGGUAUAGAGAGGAGACAGACAGGGAGAGAGCAAUAGGUCAGAGAGAGAGAGAGAGACAGGUGUAGAGAGGAGAGAGUGAGAGGUCAGAGAGAGAAAGAGAGAGAGACAUGUAUAGAGAGGAGACAGACAGGGAGAGAGUAAUAGGUCAGAGAGAGAGAGAGAGAGAGAGACAGGUAUAGAGAGGAGACAGACAGGGAGAGAGUGAGGGGUUAGAGAGAGAAAGAGAGAGACAGGUAUAGAGAGGAGACAGACAGGGAGAGAGUGAGAGGUUAGAGAGAGAAAGAGAGAGACAGGUAUAGAGAGGAGACAGACAGGGAGAGAGCAAUAGGUCAGAGAGAGAGAGAGACAGGUGUAGAGAGGAGAGAGUGAGAGGUCAGAGAGAGAAAGAGAGAGAGACAUGUAUAGAGAGGAGACAGACAGGGAGAGAGCAAUAGGUCAGAGAGAGAGAGAGAGAGAGACAGGUAUAGAGAGGAGACAGACAGGGAGAGAGUGAGGGGUUAGAGAGAGAAAGAGAGAGACAGGUAUAGAGAGGAGACAGACAGGGAGAGAGUGAGAGGUUAGAGAGAGAAAGAGAGAGACAGGUAUAGAGAGGAGACAGACAGGGAGAGAGCAAUAGGUCAGAGAGAGAGAGAGACAGGUGUAGAGAGGAGACAGACAGGGAGAGAGCAAUAGGUCAGAGAGAGAGAGAGAGAGAGAGAGAGAGAGAGAGAGAGAGAGAGAGAGAGAGAGAGAGACAUGUAUAGAGAGGAGACAGACAGGGAGAGAGUGAGGGGUUAGAGAGAGAAAGAGAGAGACAGGUAUAGAGAGGAGACAGACAGGGAGAGAGUGAGAGGUUAGAGAGAGAAAGAGAGAGACAGGUAUAGAGAGGAGACAGACAGGGAGAGAGCAAUAGGUCAGAGAGAGAGAGAGACAGGUGUAGAGAGGAGACAGACAGGGAGAGAGCAAUAGGUCAGAGAGAGAGAGAG